rnacentral:rRNA from 1 species
CCUACGGGAGGCUGCAGUCGAGAAUCAUUCACAAUGGGGGAAACCCUGAUGGUGCGACGCCGCGUGGGGGAAUGAAGGUCUUCGGAUUGUAAACCCCUGUCAUGUGGGAGCAAAUUAAAAAGAUAGUACCACAAGAGGAAGAGACGGCUAACUCUGUGCCAGCAGCCGCGGUAAUACAGAGGUCUCAAGCGUUGUUCGGAAUCACUGGGCGUAAAGCGUGCGUAGGCUGUUUCGUAAGUCGGGUGUGAAAGGCGCGGGCUCAACCCGCGGACGGCACAUGAUACUGCGAGACUAGAGUAAGGGAGGGGGAACCGGAAUUCGCGGUGUAGCAGUGAAAUGCGUAGAUAUCGAGAGGAACACUCGUGGCGAAGGCGGGUUCCUGGACAUUAACUGACGCUGAGGCACGAAGGCCAGGGGAGCGAAAGGGAUUAGAUACCCCUGUAGUC